UACAGAGGGUGCAAGCGUUAAUCGGAGUUACUGGGCGUAAAGGGCGCGUAGGCGGUUAUUUAAGUUUGAUGUGAAAUCCCUGGGCUUAACCUAGGAAUGGCAUUGAAUACUGAGUAGCUAGAGUACUGUAGAGGGUAGUGGAAUUUCCGGUGUAGCGGUGAAAUGCGUAGAGAUCGGAAGGAACACCAGUGGCGAAGGCGGCUACCUGGACAGAUACUGACGCUGAGGCGCGAGAGCGUGGGGAGCAAACGGG
rnacentral:rRNA from 1 species